CUCAUCUUUAAAAUGCCUGGCCAGACUGCCAGACUAAAUGGUUGAACUUGUGGGCAAAAUGGGUCCUUUUAGACUUCUUAUUUUAUUGUAUCUGUAUCAUUUAUGGAGUGAAGUGCUCUGUUCUCCAAUUGAACGUGCUUCCCAUGCAUCUGACUGGAAUGAUGCUGGGCAAGUACUACAAGAAAACAAAGGACGGACUGUUUACUCUGAAAAAUCUACUCUAAUGGACUACCCCUUUGUAAAAGGAGCAUAUCCUAAAGAACCCAGUUCCUCCUUGCCUGAGAAGUCCAACAGUAAACUUGAAAAACCC